AAAAAAAAAUUUCAUUGCUUGGGGCCAGGGAUUUAGCUCAGUGGGGUCACGCCUGCCUCAUAAGCGAAAGGUCCUGAGUUUGAUCCUCGGUCCAAAAAAAAAAAAAAAAUUCAUUGCUCGUUCUCUUAUUGAGUUUUAGGAGUUCUUUCCAUAUUCUGGCCAUGUCCUUUGUGAGAUAGAAGCUAUACAAUUAUUUUCUCCCUCUAUGUGACUAGUCUUUUUAUUCUCUUAAGGGUGUCUUUCAGAGGGCGAAGCUUUUAGUUUUGAUGAAGUCAAGUUCCUAAUUCUUUCUUCUAUCAAUCUUUGAUGUUUCUGAGACUCAUUGCCCUGUGAGAGGUCACAAAGGUUUUCUCCCGUGUUUUCUUCUAAUGAUUGUAGAUGUUGGCACUGGGGGUGAUGUUGGGUCCACUCUGUGUUUGUACCCUUGUGAGGCUGAGGCUGAAGAGAAUGAUUUGUCCCAGCACCGUUCCCUGAAACGAAGGUGUUUCCUCCAUGGAUCUGUGUCUUCACCUCCAUCAAGUACUCCAUUUUCCAAGUAGAGAUGGGAACCUGGAGGACAAGGAUGGCGGGGCUUCUGGAAGGUCUGAGGCACCCAUCCAGGGUGUAUAUCCCCACCCAGAGUUGGCAGAGGGCAGCUGGCCUGUCAGCAGCUCCAGGUGUGAGCAGGGUUGGGGAACCCCUGCCCCCCAAUGACUGCACCUGUGUUCUCCAGCUGCACAAGUGGAGUGCUCAGGGCGGGUCCCUACCUCCUGAAGGCCUUGUCCACCUGGCUCUUGUUCUGGAGGCUUCCCUGUCAGGGAGUUGGGGUGGGAACUGCGGCCCUGGACCCCCUUGCCAGCCCUGGCUCACAAAUCUUGAGUGUUGGCCUAAGAGAGGUUUCCAAUAAUGUUAGACAUUUACAUGGCUUCCAGAAACUGAGUAAAUGUUUACAUUUCAGACUAAGUCACUGAUAAAUAUUCCUAAAAAGAGUCUAAAGGAAUAAACAUUUUUGUGGAUAUUUGUGCCUGUUUUUAAAUUGAGAUGUAAUUUCCAAUAGGAAAAGGCACAAAUCUGGGUAUGCAGCUGCACGACUGUCCCCGUUAGCACUUGCCUCCACCUCCUGGACUGUGCUUGCCCAUCCACUUCUCGUAAGCGGAGCCACAAGGAUGUGCUCUUCCUGACGUAUUGCGCACACUGAAGGAGAGCUGUGUGGGGACCUGCUGUGUGGCUGUGCCACAUUCUCCUCCAUACUGAUGAGCAGGGCUGACCAGGUUUUGGGCUGUCAUAAACAACUCUCCCAUGAGCACUCGUGAACCGGCCUUGUAUGGCUGUAAUACUCAUGCCUGCAGCACAUGCAUGGCCCACUGUGCACAGCAGAGUGGAUGCUCAGCUCUGGCAGGUUCUCUACGGUUUUUGAAGUGACUGGAUCCUUCUGGCCCCAUCAGCACAGGCCACUGUUGCUGGGUUCCACAUCUCCCCAGCAUAUGGUACUGAUGGUUGGUCUAAUUGUAAUCAUUUCAGUAGGUGCUCAGUGGAAACUAAAGAGACUCCUCUGUAUUUUAAAGAUGAUUGUGAGUUGUUUGGAUGACCUCCUCAUUAUCCAAAGAGGUUAAGAAGUAAAGGUAAGAGCUAAGAGAUGUUACCUUACACUUCUGUAACAAAAAUCCCAAUGUGGGUCCUACUGGUCUUCUUAGGAACUUGAAUCAAUGCUUAUGUCCACCCAAGGACUUGAACACAAGUAUUCACAGCAGCUUCAUUCAUAAUGGCAAACAAUGAACACAGGCAAAAGAUCCAUUAGGAGGGCCAUGUCCACUUCUGAGGCUGAAGGGGAGGAUAAUUUCCAUGACUUCUCCAGCCUCCUCAGCUGCCUGUGUUUCUUGACUUGUGACUCCUUUGUCCAUUUCCAAGAUCAACAGUGGCUUGCAGUCCCUUCCUCCUCCUCCAGUGUCCACAUUGGCACAUGACCUUCCUUCAUCUCUGGGUCCAACAGUGAUGUGUGGCCCCGUCCUCCAUCCCCAAGGCCAGCAGAGGCUUGUGGCCACCUUCCGUCUCCAAGGCCAACAGUGAUAGGCUUCAUCUUUUCACUAUUAUGCUACUCUGCUCUUGCCUGCUUUUCUCUUUCAAUUUUAGGGAUCUUGCAAUUACCUUGGACCCACGUGGAUGAUCGAGCCAAAUCACUGCAUCACAAGAAUAGAAUGAAAGGGAAACGAAGGAGGAAGGCUCACGUCUGUGCCUUCGGAGGAGCUCCAGUCUUCACUUUCACCUUGGACGUUGUCUCCUGGCUUCCAGCACAAACUCAUCAGCCUUCCAUCACAGACCCUUUGGCCUCCUCAUAUAAACUGGCACGGGAUACUACACUAAGCUCCAGGCCUUAACUGGAUCCUUCAGAUCUCUAGUGCACAGAUAGUCCUCUUGUGUGCUUCCAACCUGACGCUGUGAGUGGCCAUUGUAAGCCCAUCUUGUAAAUUCUUAUAUAUCUGUAUAUCUUGCAUUAAAUCUGUUUCUCUAGUAAGCACUGAUAUAAGCCCUAUUAUCAUUAAAUCAUGCCUUUCUGUCA